CUGCAAGUCGACGGAAAGGCCUUCGGGUACUCGAGGGCGAAGGGUGAGUAACACGUGAGUAACCUGCCCCUGACUGGGAUAGCCCGGAAACUGGGUCAAUACCGGAUAUGACAUCGUUUCGCAUGGGAUAGUGGAAGUUUCGGUUGGGGAUGACUCGCGGCCUAUCAGCUUGUUGGUGGGGUAUGCCUACCAGGACGACGGGUAGCCCCUGAGAGGGCGACCGGCCACACUGGGACGAGCACGGCAGACUCCUACGGGAGGCACAGUGGGGAAUAUUGCGCAAUGGGCGAAGCCUACGCACACGCCGCGUGGGGGAUGAGGCCUUCGGGUUGUAAACCUCUUUCAGAGGGAGAAUUGCGUGUACCUGCAGAAGAACGCCGGCUAACUACGUGCCAGCAGCCCGGUAAAGUAGGCGCAAGCGUUGUCCGGAAUUAUUGGGCGUAAAGAGCUCGUAGGUGCUUGUCGUCGGGGUGAAAGCUUGGGGCUUACUCCAGGUCUGCAUUCGAUACGGGUGGCUAAGUAGGUAGGGAGAACGGAAUUCCUGUGUAGCGGUGAAAUGCGCAGAUACAGGAGAACCCGGUGCGAAGGCGGUUCUCUGGCCUUACCUGACGCUGAGGAGCGAAGCGGGGGAGGAACAGAUUAGAUACCCUGGUAGCCACGCUGUAAACGUUGGGCGCAGGGUGGGGACUUCCACGUUUCCGCGCCGUAGCUAACGCAUUAAGCGCCCCGCCUGGGGAGUACGGCCGCAACUAAAACUCAAGGAAUUGGGGGGCCCGCACAAGCGGCGGAUGUUGCUUAAUUCACGCAACGCGAAGAACCUUACAAGGCUUGACAUCGCCCGGAAACUCAGAGAUGGGUCCUCUUCGGAUCGGGUGACAGGGUGCAUGGCUGUCGUCAGUGUGUCGUGAGAUGUUGGUUAAGUCCCGCAACGAGCCACCCUUGUUCAAUGUUGCACACGCUCCUUCGGGGGGGUGGGGACUCAUUGGAGACGCGGGGUCAACUCGGAGAAGUGGGGAUGACGUCAAGCAUCAUGCCCCUUAUGUCUUGGCUGCAAACAUGCUCAAUGCCGGUACAGAGGGUUGCUACCGUGAGGUGGAGCGAUCCCAAAAAGCCGUCUCAUUCGGAUUGGGGUCUGCAACCGACCCCAUGAAGUCGGAGUCCUAGUAAUCGAGAUCACAACGCUGCGGUGAAUACGUUCCGGGCCUUGUACACACCGCCGUCACGUACGAAAGCGGCAACACCCGAAGCCCGUGGCCAACCAGCUUGUCUGGGAGCGGUAAGGUGGGCUGGCGAUGGGACGAAUCU
rnacentral:rRNA from 1 species